rnacentral:rRNA from 1 species
CCUACGGGAGACUGCAGUGAGGAAUAUUGGUCAAUGGACGAGAGUCUGAACCAGCCAAGUAGCGUGAAGGAUGACUGCCCUAUGGGUUGUAAACUUCUUUUAUAAAGGAAUAAAACGAGGCACGUGUGCCUUUUUGCAUGUACUUUAUGAAUAAGGAUCGGCUAACUCCGUGCCAGCAGCCGCGGCAAUACGGAGGAUCCGAGCGUUAUCCGGAUUGAUUGGGUUUAAAGGGAGCGUAGAUGGGUUGUUAAGUCAGUUGUGAAAGUUUGCGGCUCAACCGUAAAAUUGCAAUUGAUACUGGCAGUCUUGAGUACAGUUGAGGUAGGCGGAAUUCGUGGUGUAGCGGUGAAAUGCUUAGAUAUCACGAAGAACCCCGAUUGCGAAGGCAGCUUACUAAACUGUGACUGACACUGAUGCUCGAAAGUGUGGGUAUCAAACAGGAUUAGAUACCCGAGUAGUC